rnacentral:misc_RNA from 1 species
UCCGGCUUAACGCCGGCAGUCUCCUUAGAGUGCCACGGCUUUACCCGGGGGCAACUAGGGAUAGGGGUUGCGCUCGUUGCGCCACUUAAGGCAACACCUCACGGCACGAGCUGACGACAGCCAUGCACCACCUGCACACCAGCCACAAGGGAAACCCCAUCUCUGGAGCAAACCAGUGCAUGUCAAACCCAGGUAAGGUUCUUCGCGUUGCAUCGAAUUAAUCCACAUGCUCCACCGCUUGUGCGGGCCCCCGUCAAUUCCUUUGAGUUUCAGUCUUGCGACCGUACUCCCCAGGCGGAGUGCUUAAUGUGUUGACUUCGGCACAGCAGGGGUCGAUACCCGCUACACCAAGCACUCAUCGUUUACGGCGUGGACUAC